rnacentral:rRNA from 1 species
UAGAACAGGACGUGGGGUUUUGCGCUGAACGGGUCUCGCAGCACGCGCAGUUCCGGGCGCUCGGCGAUGGUGUAGCCCGCCGUGAAGUCACCAAACGCAAUUGCCAUGGCGUCCGAUGCGAUGUCGGGCAUGUCCUCAGCGAUCAGAACCGGGUAACCCAUGAGCCGCGCCGGCUCACCUGCAGCCAGACCGUCGGACCACAGGAAGCGGCCAUCGGCAUCCUUCAUCUUGCGCACGGCACCGGCAGUCUUCGAAUUCAUCACGAAGGCCGCGUUCGCGCGGUAGCGGGCGCCGAGCGAAUAGACCAGGUCAACGAUGGCAUCGGCCGGGUUCACCGUGUCGAAGUCACCGGCGGUACCGGUGAUGACAUAGCCGACAUUUCCCCAGCUCCAGCUUGCCUCGGCCACCGUCGUGUGGGUCAGGAAACCGGUGGGUUUGUCCACCCCAUCGCCCGAGACAAACGCCAUCGCUUCGGCGCGGGCGAACUUGUCGGCGAUGCGACCAGCCAGCCAGCCCUCGAUGUCGAACGCGGUGUCGUCCAGCAGCCGCUGAGACGCCUUGGGCAGCGCCGAAAGCUCGUGCAGCGGGAUCGAGAUCCGUUCGAUCUGCGGCGUGUCGGUCUCGGUGGUGGUGCUGGUUUCAUCUGCCCAGCCCGCACCCACAUCGGCGGUGUCGACCAGCACGUCGAACGACGUCGCCUCCACAUUCACUACAUUGGCGACGGCGCGCAGCGAAGACGCCCCUUGCAGCACGCCCUGGAUCAUCUCGGCGGUUUGCGGAUCGACCAGAUAGCC